GAUGGAGAACUUCCUGGUCAUCCACCAGCUAGGUGUAACGUGUCGCGGAGGGUAUCAGAAUCUGCAGGAAAGGUUUCCCAGCAGAAUUCUCUAUGCUGACUUCAAGCCGAGGUACAAGGUGCAUGAAUGCCAGUGUCAUCCCGAGGGCCCACUUCAUUGACACAACAAGAAGGCGUAAGAGAAAGCUGCUGGGGUCAAUUGAUGUUAAA